rnacentral:tRNA from 1 species
GAAAAUAUAAUCUAUAUGAAAGAUUUAUCAUUUACAUUGAUACUAAGUAGUAAAAUUACUGUUUUU